rnacentral:misc_RNA from 1 species
AAUUCUCAACUACCUCCAGUUUUGCGACUGGUUCGUGUGUUGGAUAGGUGGGGGUCUGCAGGCCUAUGGUCAGCUCCCCUGAAAUGCAUUAGCAGAACCAUUCACGGUCCGUCGCCGGUGUGAUAAUUAUCUACGCCACAGAUGAAGACUGUGUUUUGCCUGUUCAGCUUCCAAUCGUCUCUAUGUAGACAACUUCUGAAC